rnacentral:rRNA from 1 species
ACGCUCGACACCUACGGGAGGCUGCAGUGGGGAAUAUUGCACAAUGGGGGAAACCCUGAUGCAGCGACGCCGCGUGAGUGAAGAAGUAUUUCGGUAUGUAAAGCUCUAUCAGCAGGGAAGAAACUGACGGUACCUGACUAAGAAGCACCGGCUAAAUACGUGCCGGCAGCCGCGGUAAUCUGAGCGGGCUGGCAAGGC